rnacentral:lncRNA from 1 species
UCUUAAGGAAUUUUGAGCAGAGGAAGGAAAUGACUAGUUGUGUUGCUAGUUCACUCCAGCAGCAAUAUGGAGAAUGUACUAGAAGACUUGAGGCUAAAUCAGGAAGGUCAGUUAAAUAAUUAUUGGGAAAUUUCCAUUUAAGUGGAGUUAAGAUGGUUUCUUCUUUGUUUUUUCAAAAUUUACCCCAGAAAAACAAUGCACCCAAAAUAACUUAGACUGUCUUAUUUACGAAGAAACUAGAAGGCCUCUGUAACUCUGAACUACCAUCUAUGAGGGGAUUGAAUACAAUUAUGGGAAGACACCAGGAAAGGAUCCCCUUGACUGGACAUUUCAGACACCAGAGCAGAGCACUGCCAAGGAAGUUCCAAGUUUUGGGAGUUACAGAACGAGGAGUAUCUAAAGACUGCUUCAAAAAGCAGAUAAAGAAGAGGCUAAUUCACUCUAGAAGGUGAACCAAGAAAUGCCAUGGGAGAAUGCUGGAAGGUUUAGCAUGUGAAUUGUUCUAGAACAGUCAAAGAUAAUUAGAAAGAACUGAGAAAUGGCAAAAGAACUUUUUGAGGAGAUUUAUUGUGGAUUAUAAAUUGGACAGCAAGUACAAAUUGAGAGGUAAAAUACAAAUUGGAAUUGCAUUUGAGAUGUCUUAAUUGCUGAACUGCCUUUUGAAGGUAUUUCAUAUGGAUAUGGAGUCACCGGGGACCCUGGCUUUUUGUCAGGCUACAUUGUUACCGAAGACAUAAAGCGAUUAGUUUUAAAGGAAGUAACGAUGUGCUCCUGGGGCUCAGGGUAAAAUUCUGAUGGGAUUUUGAGAAAUGAAAAGGUGAUAUUUAAACAGGUCUUUGAAGGCUGUAAGAAGUCUUUGUGGGAGGGGCAAGACAUUCGGUGAUGAAGAUAACGUCUGAAGAAAUACCAAGUUGUUUGAAAGUAUAAAUCUUCUGUGUAUUGAACUGUAGUUCUUAUGGCCGAAUAUGAUAAGCAAUGAAGUUUUAAAAUUUGUUAUAACUACUGUUAUUUAUUGAAUGCUUAGUAAAUGCCAGGUAUUGUACAAUUAUCUUAAUCCGUGGAACCAAAUUGUCACUACAUUCAUCAUCACAGUCAAAGGUAAAUAAUUAGAAGAGGACUGAGACUGGAAUCCUGGUGAAUGCUGACACUUAAAGCCUAGGCAGAGAAAUAGAAGACUGAAAUAUGAAUGAUCAGGGAUAGUAGACAAUCAACAGAAAUGAGUGGAACAAAGCAGAGGAGAAAUGUUCCAAGACGGUGGGGUGGGCAACAGUGCCAAAUUUCAAUAGUUUGAGGGCUGAGAGGAGAGAGUAGGAGCUAACAUUUAGGAGAUCAUUAUUGGUGUUUGGGGAGAGAGUUUUCAGUAGAAUAUUGGGAAUGGAGAUGGUAUUAGAGGAAGCUUUGGUAAAUGUGUGAUGAGGAGGUGGAAGCAGCUGCUCUUGAGGAUUAAUGGCU